GAUGAACGCUGACAGAAUGCUUAACACAUGCAAGUCAACUUGAAUUUGGGUUUUUAACUUAGGUUUGGGUGGCGGACGGGUGAGUAACGCGUAAAGAACUUGCCUCACAGCUAGGGACAACAUUUGGAAACGAAUGCUAAUACCUGAUAUUAUGAUUUUAAGGCAUCUUAGAAUUAUGAAAGCUAUACGCGCUGUGAGAGAGCUUUGCGUCCCAUUAGCUAGUUGGAGAGGUAACGGCUCACCAAGGCGAUGAUGGGUAGCCGGCCUGAGAGGGUGAACGGCCACAAGGGGACUGAGACACGGCCCUUACUCCUACGGGAGGCAGCAGUGGGGAAUAUUGGACAAUGGACCAAGAGUCUGAUCCAGCAAUUCUGUGUGCACGAUGACGUUUUUCGGAAUGUAAAGUGCUUUCAGUUGGGAAGAAAAAAAUGACGGUACCAACAGAAGAAGUGACGGCUAAAUACGUGCCAGCAGCCGCGGUAAUACGUAUGUCACAAGCGUUAUCCGGAUUUAUUGGGCGUAAAGCGCGUCUAGGUGGUUAUGUAAGUCUGAUGUGAAAAUGCAGGGCUCAACUCUGUAUUGCGUUGGAAACUGUGUAACUAGAGUACUGGAGAGGUAAGCGGAACUACAAGUGUAGAGGUGAAAUUCGUAGAUAUUUGUAGGAAUGCCGAUGGGGAAGCCAGCUUACUGGACAGAUACCGACGCUGAAGCGCGAAAGCGUGGGUAGCAAACAGG
rnacentral:rRNA from 1 species